rnacentral:rRNA from 1 species
GACGAACGCUGGCGGCGGGCUUAACACAUGCAAGUCGAACGGAAAGGCCCUGCUUUUGUGGGGUGCUCGAGUGGCGAACGGGGGAGUAACACGUGAGUAACCUGCCCUUGACUUUGGGAUAACUUCAGGAAACUGGGGCUAAUACCGGAUAGGGGCUCCUGCUGCAUGGGGGGGGUUGGAAAGGUUCGGCGGUUGGGGAUGGACUCGCGGCUUAUCAGCUUGUUGGUGGGGUAGUGGCUUACCAAGGCUUUGACGGGUAGCCGGCCUGAGAGGGUGACCGGCCACAUUGGGACUGAGAUACGGCCCAGACUCCUACGGGAGGCAGCAGUGGGGAAUAUUGCACAAUGGGCGGAAGCCUGAUGCAGCAACGCCGCGUGCGGGAUGACGGCCUUCGGGUUGUAAACCGCUUUCGCCUGUGACGAAGCGUGAGUGACGGUAAUGGGUAAAGAAGCACCGGCUAACUACGUG